AUUCUACCCAUGCGAGGAAGGAUGAGAAGCUUCGACUAAGGUUCGAUUCGAGCGCAGCGAGAACGCGUUGCCGCAGGCAACGACCCGAAGGGCGAAGCGCGCAGCGCUGAGUCAUCCUUCCCCCACCACCA
rnacentral:sRNA from 1 species